AUCGUAAGAAGUGGAGGUGCCUUGGGAAAUGUUACAGUGAGCAUUAGAUUGUAUGAGCUGUGUUAGUGACCCUCUGUGUCACAUUAAAAGGCAUAAUUCCUAAAGAACGUAUCCAAUAAGAUACGGCUUUUGAAGAUAAUUCUGGAGGUUCCAUAGCUUUCAUUAGGUUCUCAAAGGAUUGUUGAUCAAAAAAACCCCC